UAGUUUAAUUAUGGCUCUCAAUUUUAAA
rnacentral:piRNA from 1 species